rnacentral:rRNA from 1 species
AUUAGAGUUUGAUCCUGGCUCAGAUUGAACGCUGGCGGAAUGCUUUACACAUGCAAGUCGAACGAUGAUUUCUAGCUUGCUAGAAUGAUUAGUGGCGAACGGGUGAGUAAUGUAUCGGAACGUAUCCAAUAAUGGGGGAUAACUAAUCGAAAGGUUGGCUAAUACCGCAUACGCCCUACGGGGGAAAGCAGGGGAUCUUCGGACCUUGCGUUAAUGGAGCGGCCGAUAUCUGAUUAGCUAGUUGGUGAGGUAAAGCUCACCAAGGCGACGAUCAGUAGCUGGUCUGAGAGGACGACCAGCCACACUGGAACUGAGACGCGGUCCAGACUCCUACGGGAGGCAGCAGUGGGGAAUUUUGGACAAUGGGCGAAAGCCUGAUCCAGCCAUUCCGCGUGAGUGAAGAAGGCCUUCGGGUUGUAAAGCUCUUUCGCAAGGGAAGAAACGAUGCAGUCGAAUAAACUGUGUUAAUGACGGUACCUUGAUAAGAAGCACCGGCUAACUACGUGCCAGCAGCCGCGGUAAUACGUAGGGUGCAAGCGUUAAUCGGAAUUACUGGGCGUAAAGCGUGCGCAGGCGGUUUUGUAAGUCAGAUGUGAAAUCCCCGAGCUCGACUUGGGAACUGCGUUUGAAACUACAAGACUAGAAUAUGUCAGAGGGGGGUAGAAUUCCACGUGUAGCAGUGAAAUGCGUAGAGAUGUGGAGGAAUACCAAUGGCGAAGGCAGCCCCCUGGGAUAAUAUUGACGCUCAUGCACGAAAGCGUGGGGAGCAAACAGGAUUAGAUACCCUGGUAGUCCACGCCCUAAACGAUGUCUACUAGUUGUUGGUGGAGUAAAAUCCAUGAGUAACGCAGCUAACGC